rnacentral:sRNA from 2 species
UGAGCAGACUUGCCUAACUCUGCCGCUGCCUCAGGAUCCGUUCGCAAAAUCGUCCGGCAGAGACGGGGAACCCAACAGCGGCCUGCUCGCAGGCCUUGGGGUGAAGCCGUGCCUGAUGCAUCCGUGCAUCAACGCGGCCGGGUGCCUCCCAUCCGAAUCCGACAGCUAACCUCGCAGGCAGUGGGAGAGGCCCU